rnacentral:rRNA from 1 species
GGAGUUUGGGCCGUGUCUCAGUCCCAAUGUGGCCGGUCACCCUCUCAGGUCGGCUACUGAUCGUCGCCUUGGUGGGCCGUUACCUCACCAACUAGCUAAUCAGACGCGGGUCCAUCCUAUACCGUCGGAGCUUUUCACACUGAAUCAUGCGAUUCCGUGCGCUUAUGCGGUAUUAGCAGUCAUUUCUAACUGUUAUCCCCCUGUAUAGGGUAGGUUACCCACGCGUUACUCACCCGUCCGCCACUCAGUCAUCUCAGGCUUCACCCCGAAGGGAUCGACUUGAGAGCUUCGUUCGACUUGCAUGUGUUAAGCACGCCGCCAGCGUUCAUC